rnacentral:lncRNA from 1 species
UCUGAAAGAACCAAAUAGCGCCUGUCUACCUACAGAGUGAGUUGAAAAAUGAAAGCAGACCACAAGCCAAAAGGGCGAGGAGAGAGCAGCUCAUCAGUGUCACAUGACCGAGGGCAGACACCAUGGAACCCCAAAGCUACCAGUCAGACUCUUCUUUGGGGAUGCCCUGGCUGUAAUCUGGACACUGUCCCCAAGGAGGUGACAUUUAAACUAAGACCCAAAGACAAUGGGAGGCUGAUUGCACAGAAAUCUGGGCAUCCUCCCAAGAGCAAUGGGCAAUCCUAAUGUUUGUCAACACUUCCUCCACCCUGCACUCCCACUCUCAGCCUCUCUAGAUCUCUAUUAUAGCACCUACAAUGUUCUGUUGGAAUUGUUUCUCACAUGUCUGUCUCCCCAAUGAGACCAAGCUUCUACUGGCAAGGACCAGGUCUGACUCAUCAUUUUAUACCCAGCUUCCAGUCCAGGACUCAGCACAAGACAGGGCUCAACAAGUCUUAGUUGAAGAAAAAGAGAUGAG